UAAGGAAUAUUGGUCAAUGGGCGGAAGCCUGAACCAGCCAUGCCGCGUGCAGGAAGACAGCCCUACGGGUCGUAAACUGCUUUUAUCCGGGAAUAAACCCCGCUAUGUAUAGUGGGCUGAAUGUACCGGAAGAAUAAGGAUCGGCUAACUCCGUGCCAGCAGCCGCGGUAAUACGGAGGAUCCAAGCGUUAUCCGGAUUUAUUGGGUUUAAAGGGUGCGUAGGCGGCUUAUUAAGUCAGGGGUGAAAGACGGUGGCUCAACCAUCGCAGUGCCCUUGAUACUGAUGAGCUUGAAUGAACUAGAGGUAGGCGGAAUGUGACAAGUAGCGGUGAAAUGCAUAGAUAUGUCACAGAACACCGAUUGCGAAGGCAGCUUACUAUGGUUUUAUUGACGCUGAGGCACGAAAGCGUGGGGAUCAAACA
rnacentral:rRNA from 1 species